UUCAACGUCGAGGGGCCAUCUCCGACACCCAGAACAAACACGCGAUAGCCUCUGACGCUAUAGGAGGCGACGUCGCGAAAGGGACAAGCUACGGAAUCGGUAACGUUAGCCCCGUCGCGCGUCGCCGCGGCACAGAAGAUAUCCCACGAGGUUAAAGUGCGAAUCCGGUUCUAAAUUCGAGGGACUAGGUGUGACUCGAUCGUCGUUUUGGCGCAGACGGAAGGCCCUUGGAAUCUCGAGAUCCAUCCCAUCGCUUUGCGAAUUCCCAAGGAUUUCCCGAAACGAAAUAAGACGACAACGACAUCGUCGACAUUCGAAUUUCAAAUUCAAAAAGCGCGAAUCGAGUAAUCCUCUGGUGAACGGGGAAACCACGACGCUCGGUUUCACUCGCCGGUUCGACCGUCGGCUGCCCUUACACGGACCUCGAAGAAACCCUUUCCUUCGGCCGAGAAACCACCUCGUACAAACGUACGGAUACAAACACAGGUAUACACGCGUACCACGUACCUUCGGCAACGGCCACCGUCGUCGUCGAAUCCCGGCGCGCCGAAAACUGGUAAACUCCGCGAUAAACCCCGUACAAGGUAAGCCUGCAGGAUUUUGGGCUGCACAGGCAGGACGCAGGGUGGUCUCGCAUCCGGGCAGCGUGCGUAAGAAUCCUUGUAGAGUCGCGGCAAGCCCUACAGCGUGUAAAGAAAAGAUAUACGUAUGAAAUAUACAAGGUAUAAAUAUAAUACACACGCAAAGGGCCGACCGCGACUACGCCGUUUAAUCAUAUUGUAUAUAGGUAUACGAAAUAUGAUUCGAUAUACCGACCACGACGUAGCGUUUCUGUCGACAGGAAGAAAUUUGUGGGAGGGACAGACUGGAAAGUGAAGAAUAACCUGGGUGCGCGCGUACCUUAUUCUUGCGGUGAAAACAACCCUUGAUAAUACGUUACGUUAUAAAUGAGCGUUGGUUUGAAAAUCGAUGAUGCAUCAGGUGAUCGCCAUGAAUCUGGUUGGUGGGUCACAGCUCGUAUGAUAAAACGCGCCUGUAUAAACCAGUAAAAUAUAUAUCCACACGAGCUAUACGAACUGGCAUGUGAGCAGCGAAACGUUUCGGGCUCCUAAAAUGCGGUAAUAAAGAUAUAAGGCAGCAUUUUAUGGGCUCCGUGGGCCGCUGUUAGGUCAGAAAGCCAAGGCAUAACGGCCAAAGACCCAAGGGCCAGCGGUGAUGGCUAUGAACGGACCGUAGAACCGACGAUGAUUGUUGAUGUGGUCACAGUUUCACUUUGUUUCCCUAUACCUCGAGUUAAAGGCGAAUCGAUCUUUUCGUAUUCAUGAGUAACUCAAAAAAUGACGAGUGAAAUCUCGAGUUUAUUUAUUCGACGAUGCCUGUAAAAAAACAAAAUCUAGGUAGAACAAAUGCAGUGAUACUUUUGAGGAAAACAGGAUACAGAAAUUCGGAUAUCUCCGUUUCCGGUGUGAUUACCGACAACGUCUUUGUCUCGAUUCGAUGAUGUCGCGAACUAUGAGGCAACCGAUCAUUUUCCGGAUGCCUACCCCUUUAUACGAUUCCUUUAUGGAACGGUAUUAGCCACAAUUUUCCUUACGUCGACAUAUUUUACGACCAAGAUAACUCUUUUCCACGGCGUUUAUUGGGGAUAAGUGAGAGCCGGGGUGCUGGUCUUACUCAUUUUUUUUUUUUUUCUCUCUUCUACACCCAGCUAUUCUCUUUCUCUUUAGUCAGUGUUCCCCUUAUACGAUAUAUUCUUACAAAUCGCAGCAAUCUGAGAGAACGUGGCCAAUUUAAAUGCGUAUAGCUAUGGUAUAGCUAUUAUUCCAGAUCUCAACGCCUUCUCUCCUUUAUAUCUCUCUUUCCCCUUACGUCAUAACUCACACGUAAUGUGUAUAAUCCGAUGACCAUCCAGCAGCUCGUCUGAGAUCUAAGUAACUUAAUAUCGCAUAACUAUUCUUGAAUUUCAACUUUAGAACUGAAGCGAAAAAAAAACAAAUCAUUUUCGUAUCAAAUGCGUCGCGUAUUAUGAACAUAGGGUCGAGUCACAGUCGUAACUCCGAUUCGAAAGUCAUACUCCGAUUUCAAGGACCCUAUUCAUAGAUAUGUUAGGUAUACGUACCGGAAAAAAGAAAGGGCAAAAAAAUUAUACUCGAACCAGAUGUCAUCCAAGAAUACGUUAGUCAUAUGUACAAUGUACAUAAAUGUCUCUUGAUCUUAAGAGGAUAAAGACCACACAGGAAACGACAUGGUUUCUCAUUGAAUGGUAUCAAAAAUCAGUUCUUAUAUCUAUGGUUCUAUAUAGAUCAUUUUUUUUCUACUGUAUAGUCCUUGCACAGUUUGUGCACGAGAUAAAAGUCGAAAGUGUAGGUAGCUGUUGCUGGAUGGGUGAUGGCGGUCAAGCUACAUUUUAUGAUGUUUUCUGAUGAAAAGAGGCAAUCGAGAGGCGACAGACCGGUUCCUCGCAAUUAGAGGGUUUUUUUUGUUUUUUUUUUUUGUGACGACAAAUAAUCGAGAAGAUUGAUAGUGAUACUUCAAAGUUUGGCGACGAACAAUAAAGUCUAUAUAUGUAUAAUGUAUACGAUACGUUCUCGGAUCUCGCAGUUUUUGAAUUCAUUGUAAGUAUAUGGAGAAGCGGCUGCACACCAGUUUAGGUAUAGAAACGUAACUAGAAGUAAGAAAAAGUAAUCUAACGUAAUAAAGAUAUAUAUUAUAAAUCUACCCCAUGUCGCUCCGCGAAGCGCCAUUCUAAAGUCGUUUCCGCAAAAUCUAAGUUUGAGAACCUCAGGCCCUACUUGUCCUCCAUAAUGGUGACUUGAAAAAUUGCCUUCGAGAAUUAUUUUUUCGAUAUUACUCGUGCGGUUACUGCGGCACACCACUUUUGCUCUUUUGCCACUGCUGCCGCUGCUGCUAUUGCUGGAAACUUGUAUCUCGAUGCGGCAAGAUAAAUUAUGAAGGAUGUUUCAUCGGAGUGGCUGGGACUUACGAAAACCACACCACCACACGACUUAAAGGGUAUGUCUCUACGCUCUCUGCUGGGCUGAUCCUACCUCCCUCAACCAAACCUAAACUGUGCGAUUUAUCGACAGACUUUUCGAACCAACAAAUCUCCAACUUCCUUCUACUUCCCACUACCCCUGGCUACAUCGUAUUUUUUCCAAUUGACUUUAAUCUCACACUGUAUUCGUUCGAUUCUCCCGGAACACACGAAAGUAAAAAAUUUAACUUAUAAAUGAUUGAAUGAAAUCAAAAAUUAGUACGUUAGCGUGUUAACACCCGUGCGUGUAUAUUUCAUACUAUACAUAUAGUCUGUAUGAUUCUAUGUAUAGAUAUGGCAAACCUUUGUUUUACCUACUCUGUAAUAUAAAGUUUCAACAGCGCUGAAAUAAUAAUAUUAACUUUAUAACUCGCGCAUCGCAACGUCUUUCUCAAACUUUCGAAGCUCUACCAUUUAGAUAGAUGGAUCAGAUAGAUUUAUUAAUAAUAUCCUCCGGGCUGAAAAUUUAUCUGUCGAGAUCGGUAAAUGUGGACCGGAUAACGAAACACCAUGUACCGAAGUGAAAUGAAAACACGAUUCCAGCAUAUUCCUGCGGUGACCCGAUCAAUCUCUCAUAUAGAAUAUAGAAUAUUGAAUAUUUUAUUUCUUAUUAGUUACUGUUCCUUCAAUCUUGAAAAGCGAAGCCUCCUUCACCCAUUGGACUCUCAAUUCGUUCCUCUACCAUUCCUAGUACCAAAGUCCCGACUUCCCCAAAAUGUAAUCAGGGUAAUUAAAUCCAAGCGCGAAAUUCAACUACUACGUUAAUUAUAAACAGCUAUUGGAAGGCGUCACCUCUACCAUUUAUUGUUGGUUGACUUCAGUUCACUAGGUGAUAUUGCACCCUUACUGUACGUCGCGGUGCGGUCCUUUACUUCGCUCGCACCCGCACCCUUCGCGACUACUUCCUGAUUUGAAGGGAUUCCUUUUCGAAACCUCAAAGGUGGCACUUACGUCUGGGCCAACGAGCCGUCGCGCUUAUUAUUAAUUAGUCGUCUUUGCGGGCCACCUAAUCAGGCGGUAUGUAGGUAUAGGUGGUCCAACAGUUAAUUCGAUACAAACGCCGUCCCAACUAUGUAUUAAGUGUUCAGAAACAUCAAUUCGGUUUCGUUGGCCGGUUGGUAAUUAAGCUGCUACCACCCACCUUCCGAGAGAAACUCAAGUUUAAAGUACCGAAUGCCAUUUCUACAUUUUUAGAUUCAUGAUUCUAACGAAGCACGUACGUACAUCCUAUU